UUAAAUAUAUAUUUUAUUUUAUAUUGUAACAUGAGUUUUUAUUAAAUAAAGUACAACAUUAAUGCACGUAUUUGUUGGUUGCUUUUACAUGCUUUAUGUUCAACGGUAAGUAUCUAUAUAUAUUUAAGAAACAGUGUACUUACUCUAUUACACAAUUUAUAUAAUACCGUUCGGGGUGGUUUUAUAGCUUUAUGUAAUUCGUAGAAAUUAUCUUAUAUGGAUAGACAUACUAAUAAAACUGUGAAUUUUGUUAUAUGCGCAUAAUAUUAUAUUGUUGUACACUAAUAUACACUGUAAACUGUAUCGUAUUAUUUGUUAUUUUCCCAGUUGAGCCUGCAAACCAGAUGUUGCUUUAUCGAUGUCCAAACAACUGCGGAAAGAGGUAUAAAUUAAAAAGUAGUCUCAGUGGCCACUUAAAGUAUGAAUGUGGUAAACCGCCAAUGUACAAAUGUCCGUAUUGUAAAAAAAGAUGCACAUUAAAAGGCAACAUGAAGAGGCACAUUGUAUUGAUGCAUCAUAGAAAAGCGGUUGAAUCCGAUUUCAAUCUCCAAUUUACCACAAAAACUACGUUUUUUUAAUGAAUUCGUCUGUGUAGUUAAUGGUUACCUAUAAUACAUAUUUAUUUUUAUUUUAUUUAUAUUACUGCGUGUUUUUAUUUAUAGUUAUUUAUAUAGUUAUAAAUAUAAUUGUUAUUCACUAUAUCGAUUAAAUAGAUAAAUAUUUUUACAUAAAAUAUUUUGUACAUAAUAUAUAUAUUAUAGAAAUAUAUGGUGAUAAUACAUUUUAAUUAAAUAUUAAAUAUUUAGCAGUUAUAGCUUUGAUCUCGAUGAAUGACAGUAUCAACAACCGCUUACGAUCCAGUUACACAAUCCAAAGGGAUUGACAUUCUUUCUUCGAGCUAGCAUACAAGUGUAGGAAUUGUUCGGGCAACAUUCAAUCAUGUAAACAAAUAUUUAAUAUUAUGAUGGUUGUAGCUGGUUCCUGUGUUCGAAAGUCAUUUCCUCGGAAACUGGAGUGUGCCUUGCUACCGCAGUUUAAGUGUACCUAUACGGUGUGUGGCAAUAAAUUUAAUCAGUGAUGCAACAUCUAGACUGCUCAUCUCAUUGUGAACAAUCAAAAUUAUUAUCCUCGAUUGAGCUAUUUUCGUACACUUGAGUUGGGCAUGUCACGCAUUUAUCUGCCUCCACAUAAUAAUUAUGUGUGAUUGUAUUAAAAGAAUCCCGGUUCGUGUGUUCAAACGGAUGUGGCAGGUCUUACAAGUACAAGCACGGAGUUGUGCAACAUUUACGUUACGAGUGCGGCAUACCACCAAAAUUCAAGUGUUCGCUGUGUGACAAAAAGUUUAAGCAGCGUAAUUCCCUCAAGCUCCACAGUUUUAACGUUCACCGUAUACUCGUCGAUUGAGUAAACU